UUUAUUUAAAUUCAUUGACCAUUGGUCAAUUGGCUGGUAAGUAGAAAGCAAUGAAUCUUUUAGGGAGAGUACAGGGUAGUGUAUGUGCUGGACCUUUGUGCUUUGUGAUAUCUUCAUAUUAACUCUACACAUACAAGACAAUUUGGUUAUUGUAUCACUCCAUUGUUCUGGAACGGAAUGCUGAAGAAAGGUCUGUUCAUUUCCUUGAAGAUAGCUUUUUUAUUCUCCGUAUUUCUUCAGCGUCUGCAACGCAGCUCCUUCCUGAGCUCCGGGUACUGAUGGCAGAUCUCAGCGGUAGGUGGAUCCUGCAAGCCCAGGAGCAGCCCAGAGGAAGGAGGAGCCCAGGCCUGGCCCGCCCCCGAGGCUGCGGCGCAGCACACCGAGCCCUCUGCUAGGACCUAGGUUGCAAUCACUACGCCUCUGACCCCAUGUGUCUUUGCACCAGCAGUACCAAAUUCAGGCCAAGGACGGGAAUAUCUGUUUGUGCAGCCCUGAUCACUUGCUUUUCCUUUCCUUAACUGCAUAGGUGGCUGGAAACUAGGUAUCACAUGUAAAGAGGUGAACCGUUCCCCAAACACAGGAAAGGAUCUAGAUGCUGGGGAGCUGAGCUAGAGUGAACCUUCAAGUUGAACUAUGCUUUUUCAUAAUAUUGCUGUGAGAAACAGUGAUGUAAGAGCUUAGCAAGUGCUUGGCACAUAGGAAGUGAGCCGAAUAUUUCUGUUUCAUGAGAAAGAAGUGGAGGGGAAGUCUCUACUUGAGGAAGACUGAACUCUACAAAUCCAACGUAUCUGGACACAUCCCGAGGCACGCAGGGGCGGGCUGCUGGAUCAGGUCUCCCAAUGGAAUAGCAGAAUAGGAGAAACACGCGUCACAGAAGGGAAGGCUCAACUAUACCACGAGGAGGCGGCACCUCAGCAAAUCCUUGAUUGCAGGAUUUGAACAACAAGGGUAGGACAGACCAGCAGUUUCUUUAUCAAAGAAAUCGGG
rnacentral:lncRNA from 1 species